UCAUUAAAGAGUUCUAUAACUCCCAAACCCAUGUGAACAUACCUAACGUUGCCUCGGCAGGUCGCACCUACCUUGUAGCACCCUACCCUGUAGGGCCUACCCGGGAGGUGCGGGUAAGCCUGCCGGCGGCCCACCAAACUCUGUUUGAUAUUGAAUUCUGAACCUAUAACUAAAUAAGUUAAAACUUUCAACAACGGAUCUCUUGGUUCUGGCAUCGAUGAAGAACGCAGCGAAAUGCGAUAAGUAAUGUGAAUUGCAGAAUUCAGUGAAUCAUCGAAUCUUUGAACGCAUAUUGCGCCCAUUAGUAUUCUAGUGGGCAGGACCGUUCGAGCGUCAUUUCAACCCUUAAGCCUUCGUUGCUUAGUGUUGGGAGCCUACGGCAACGUAGCUCCUCAAAGUUAGUGGCGGAGUUGGUUCACACUCUAGACGUAGUAAUUUUUUAUCUCGCCUAUUAGUUGGACUAAUCCCCUGCCGUAAAACCCCCAAUUUAUCAAGGUUGACCUCGAAUCGGUUCAGACAAACUCGCUAAAUUGAAGCAUCUUAGUCAGCGAAGGAAAAGAAACCAACAGGGAUUGCCCUAGUAACGGCGAGUGAAGCGGCAACAGCUCAAAUUUGAAAUC
rnacentral:rRNA from 1 species